GGGUGAGUAAUACCUAGGAAUCUACCCUAUAGUUGGGGACAACAUGUGGAAACGCAUGCUAAUACCGAAUAUGAUCUACGGAUUAAAGGAGCCCUCUUCUUGAAAGGUUUCGCUAUGGGAUGAGCCUAGGGAAGAUUAGCUAGUUGGUGGGGUAAUGGCUCACCAAGGCGACGAUCUUUAGCUGGUUUGAGAGGAUGAUCAGCCACACUGGGACUGAGACACGGCCCAGACUCCUACGGGAGGCAGCAGUGGGGAAUAUUGCACAAUGGACGGAAGUCUGAUGCAGCCAUACCGCGUGUGUGAAGAAGGCCUGAGGGUUGUAAAGCACUUUCAAUUGUGAGGAAGAUGCAGUAGUUAAUACCUGCUGUAUUUGACGUUAACUUUAGAAGAAGCACCGGCUAACUCUGUGCCAGCAGCCGCGGUAAUACAGAGGGUGCAAGCGUUAUUCGGAAUUACUGGGCGUAAAGCGCGCGUAGGCGGACUAUUAAGUCAGUUGUGAAAGCCCUGAGCUCAACCUAGGAAUUGCAUCUGAUACUGGUAGUCUAGAGUUUAGUAGAGGGAAGGGGAAUUCCAGGAGUAGCAGUGAAAUGCGUAGAUAUCUGGAGGAACAUCAGUGGCGAAGGCGCCUUCCUGGACUAGAACUGACGCUGAGGUGCGAAAGCGUGGGUAGCGAACGGGAUUAGAUACCCCGGUAGUCCACGCCGUAAACGAUGUCAACUAGUUGUUGGUUCUAUUAAAAGAAUUAGUAACGAAGCUAACGCGAUAAGUUGACCGCCUGGGGAGUACGGUCGCAAGAUUAAAACUCAAAGGAA
rnacentral:rRNA from 1 species